CUACUUACCUGGACGGGGUCAACAACCGAUCAAGAAGGGUUGUGGCCUAGACCAAUGGCUCACAUUGCACUUGGUGAGUGCGUCGGUCUACCAUCUCCCCAAGUGGGAGAGUGACGUCAUAAUUUAUUGUAGAGGGGUACGUGUUCGCGCUUCCCUGUC